ACAUGCAAGCCGAGCGGUAGAGAUCUUUCGGGAUCUUGAGAGCGGCGUACGGGUGCGGAACACGUGUGCAACCUGCCUUUAUCUGGGGGAUAGCCUUUCGAAAGGGAGAUUAAUACCCCAUAAUAUAUUGAGUGGCAUCACUUAAUAUUGAAAACUCCGGUGGAUAGAGAUGGGCACGCGCAAGAUUAGAUAGUUGGUGAGGUAACGGCUCACCAAGUCUGCGAUCUUUAGGGGGCCUGAGAGGGUGAUCCCCCACACUGGUACUGAGACACGGACCAGACUCCUACGGGAGGCAGCAGUGAGGAAUAUUGGACAAUGGGUGCAAGCCUGAUCCAGCCAUCCCGCGUGAAGGACGACGGCCCUAUGGGUUGUAAACUUCUUUUGUAUAGGGAUAAACCUAGAUACGUGUAUCUAGCUGAAGGUACUAUACGAAUAAGCACCGGCUAACUCCGUGCCAGCAGCCGCGGUAAUACGGAGGGUGCAAGCGUUAUCCGGAUUUAUUGGGUUUAAAGGGUCCGUAGGCGGAUUUGUAAGUCAGUGGUGAAAUCUCACAGCUUAAC
rnacentral:rRNA from 1 species